rnacentral:rRNA from 1 species
GACGAACGCUGGCGGCGUGCUUAACACAUGCAAGUCGAACGGAAAGGCCCUGCUUUUGUGGGAUGCUCGAGUGACGCGCGGGUGAGUAACACGAGAGUAACCUACCCUUUACUUUAGGAUAUCUUCAUGAAACUUAUUCUAAUACCGGAUCGUACCUCCUGCUUCAUGGUUGGGGUUGGUAAGUGUCGGCGGUGUGUGAUAGUCGCUCGUCGUAUUGGCUUGUGGGGGAGGUAGUGGCGUACCAAGGCGUUGACGGGUAGCCGGCCUGAGAGGGUGAACGGCCACAAGGGGACUGAGACACGGACCUUACUCCCACGGGAGGCAGCAGUGGGGAAUAGUGGACAGUGGACCAAAAGUCUGAUCCCGCAAUUCUGUGUGCACGAUGACGUUUUUCGGAAUGUAAAGUGCUUGCAGUUGGGAAGAAAAAAAUGACGGUACCAACAGAAGAAGUGACGGCUAAAUACGUG